CCUACGGGGGGCAGCAGUAGGGAAUAUUGCUCAAUGGGGGAAACCCUGAAGCAGCAACGCCGCGUGGAGGAUGAAGGUUUUCGGAUUGUAAACUCCUUUUGUUAGAGAAGAUAAUGACGGUAUCUAACGAAUAAGCACCGGCUAACUCCGUGCCAGCAGCCGCGGUAAUACGGAGGGUGCAAGCGUUACUCGGAAUCACUGGGCGUAAAGAGCGCGUAGGCGGGAUAGCAAGUCAGAUGUGAAAUCCUAUGGCUUAACCAUAGAACUGCCAUUGAAACUGUUAUUCUAGAGUAUGGGAGAGGUAGGUGGAAUGCGUGGUGUAGGGGUAAAAUGCGUAGAGAUCAAGAGGAAUACUCAUUGCGAAGGCGACCUGCUAGAACAUGACUGACGCUGAUGCGCGAAAGCGUGGGGAGCAAACAGGAUUAGAUACCCGAGUAGUC
rnacentral:rRNA from 1 species